rnacentral:rRNA from 1 species
GACGUAGGGUGCGAGCGUUGUCCGGAUUUAUUGGGCGUAAAGAGCUCGUAGGCGGCUCGUCGCGUCGACCGUGAAAACCCGCGGCUUAACUGCGGGCUUGCGGUUGAUACGGGCGGGCUAGAGUUCGGUAGGGGAGACGUGGAAUUCCUGGUGUAGCGGUGAAAUGCGCAGAUAUCAGGAGGAACACCGGUGGCGAAGGCGGGUCUCUGGGCCGAUACUGACACUGAGGGACGAAAGCUAGGGGAGCGAAUGGG